rnacentral:rRNA from 1 species
UCAGUCGACUCCUACGGGGAGGCAGCAGUGGGGAAUAUUGCACAAUGGGGGAAACCCUGAUGCAGCCAUGCCGCGUGUGUGAAGAAGGCCUUCGGGUUGUAAAGCACUUUCAGUAGGGAGGAAGGUAGUGUAGUUAACACCUGCAUUAUUUGACGUUACCUACAGAAGAAGCACCGGCUAACUCCGUGCCAGCAGCCGCGGUAAUACGGAGGGUGCGAGCGUUAAUCGGAAUUACUGGGCGUAAAGCGCAUGCAGGCGGCCUGUUAAGUCAGAUGUGAAAGCCUGGGGCUUAACCUCGGAAUUGCAUUUGAAACUGGCAGGCUAGAGUCUUGUAGAGGGGGGUAGGAAUUUCAGGUGUAGCGGUGAAAUGCGUAGAGAUCUGAAGGAAUACCAGUGGCGAAGGCGGCCCCCUGGACAAAGACUGACGCUCAGAUGCGAAAGCGUGGGGAGCAAACAGGAUUAGAUACCCUGGUAG